GCUGGUCAAACGGAACCAAGUCCGUCUUCCUUGGAGGUUUGGUCCCCUUCAACCAGCUA
rnacentral:pre_miRNA from 2 species